GGAGGGUUGGCAGAACGGCUAUUGCGCGGGUCUUGAAAACCCGUGGGAGAAAUCCCUUGCAGGUUCGAAUCCUGUGCCCUCCG
rnacentral:tRNA from 4 species